AUUUUAUUAUAUUUAUUUUUUGUUUAUUUAAUUAUUUAAUAUAAAUAAUUUUAUUGUAUUUUUGUCUUAGUAUAUUUUAUAGAAUUGAUUUUUUAAAUUAUAGUUUAUUGGUAAUGUAAGUGUUUUAUGAAAUAUUAUUUUAAAUUUUUUAAGUAGAUUUUAUUUAUUGUACCUUUUGUAUCAGGGUUUAUCAAAAUUUUAGUAUUUAUUUUACUUGUCUCGAUUUGGGUUGAUUUAUAAAUAAUUUAUAGUUAAUGUAUCAUAAUUAUUAUUAAAUUAUUUAUAGAAAUGAGAUGUUAAUCGUUUCCCAAGAUAUCUAGUUUCUUAAGAAAAAAUUUAAUUUUUUAAAGUUAUUUGUUUUUAUUUAAUUUUUUAAGUAAAAAUAUUAACUUAUUUAUUCUUUAAGGGAUAAGCUAUGAAGUUAAUAACCUAUAAUUUAUUUUAUAGAAAUAUAAUAGUAAGCUUUAAACCAGCUAUCUUUAAGAUUACGUUUUAGUUCAUUAUUUUUUAUUUUGAUUUUAUAAAUAUUUUAGGUUUUUUAUUAAGAUUAUUAAUUUAAUUUUAAAAUUUUUGUAAUAAUGAUAGAAUUAGUAUAUUUAUUUGUAUGAAAUUUUUACCUUGUGAACUUAUUAUAAGGAACUAGGCAAAAUUGAUUUCCGCCUGUUUAUCAAAAACAUGUCCUCUUGUUUAUAUUUUGAGGUCUGGCCUGCUCACUGAGCGUAUUUUUAAAGAGCCGCGGUAUUUUGACCGUGCAAAGGUAGCAUAAUCUUUAGUCUCUUAAUUAGUGGCUGGAAUGAAUGGCUUGACGAGAAAUCAACUGUCUCUUAAUAAAUUUUUGAAUUUAACUUUUGAGUCAAAAGGCUUAAAUUCUUCUUUAGGACGAGAAGACCUUAUAGAGCUUGACAUUUUACUUUUAUAUAGUUUUUUGUUUGUCUUUCUAUAUUUAAUGAUGAUGUUUUGUUGGGGUGACAUGAAGAAUAGAUAAACUCUUCAUUAUUAUAUCAUUUAUUUAUGUUUGUUAUUUUGAUCCAUAAUUUAUGAUCAUAAGAUUAAGUUACCUUAGGGAUAACAGCGUAAUUGUUUUUGAGAGCUCAUAUCGACAAAGCAGAUUGCGACCUCGAUGUUGGAUUAAGAAAAAUUUUUGGUGCAGGAGCCCAAUGAUUAGGUCUGUUCGACCUUUAAAUUCUUACAUGAUCUGAGUUCAGACCGGCGUGAGCCAGGUCGGUUUCUAUCCUAAGAUUGUUAAUCCAUAUUAGUACGAAAGGACCAUAUGGUUAAAAUAUUUUUUGUUAUAUUGAUUAAUAUUAAUUUAUUUA